GAGGGCGGCCCGGAGGGAAACUCCUCACGGCACCAGGACUGAUGUCCGCCCUUCCGAGCCAGAGGCCCAAGUGGGACAGCGGAGAGGCGAGGAAUGAGAAGAAGGAGGCGCAGGUCGCUGCGGGGCGUUGUGAGAGCAAGGUGUGGGGAUAAAGAAAGGGGGAAGAAAAACAAAACCCUGUAAACUCUGAGAUGAAUGAAGGCACCAGGAAGCUGCAGAGCUCCUCCCAGCUGCAGGGCUGCUCUGCAGGUUCGGUGGAAAUUGAAAGAAAGGAAGAAUUCAGCAGUACCCUAGAGGAUGACACCUGUCGAGUACAGGAACAGAUGUGAAAUAUUUUUUCCUUGACUAACACUAGACUCCAUAGAGGGCUGAUCAUUUCUAAGACCCAACUGGAAUUUCCCUUACUGCAUCAUGUGACUGUGGCCUCCAGUCCUUUCUCAGUGCAUCUCUGUUGACCUCCAUGCUGGUGUUCACCACUGCCAGGGCAUAAUGCUGACUCAGGUGGAAAUUACAGAAUCACAGUAUCAUUUAGGUUGGGAAGCACGUCUUGAGAUCACCUCGUCAAACCCUCCCUGCUGAAGCAAGCUUAGCUAGAACAGGUUGUCCAGGAACGUGUCUGGUCUGGUUUUGAGUAUCUCCAAGGAUGGAGACUCCACAACUUCUCUGGGCAACUGUGCCCAGAGUCUGUCACUCUAAUAGUAAAAAAG